UUCUGCCCUAUGAUUAAUUUUAAAUGGCUGCAGUAUUUUGACUGUGCAAAGGUAGCAUAAUCAUUAGUCAUUUAAUUGUUGACUAGAAUGAAUGGAUAAAUGAGCAAUUAAUUUUUUUAAAUUUAUUUUUAAAAUUUUAUUUUUAAGUAAAAAAGCUUAAUUAUUUUUUAGGGACGAUAAGACCCUAUAGAACUUUAUUAUAAAAUUGAUUUAAAAAUUUUUGGUUUAAAAUUUAUUUAUUUUUUAUUUAUUUUUUUGUUGGGGUGAUGAAUAAAUUAAAACUUUAUUUUUUUAAUUCAUUUAUUUAUGAUUUUUUUGAUCCAUAUUUUAGAAAAAAGAAAUAGUUACCUUAGGGAUAACAGCGUAAUUUUAAUGGAAAGUUCAUAUUUAUAUUAAAGUUUGCGACCUCGAUGUUGAAUUAAGAUAAAUUUGGGGGGUAG
rnacentral:rRNA from 1 species